rnacentral:lncRNA from 1 species
GUCAGGGUUUCCACAGGCUCCUCAGUUAGUCAUCAGAAACUCUUGAAGCAGCUGGAUAACUGGUUCCCAAGAGGGAGACCAGCAGAAGGGGCCAUCCUGAAUGGAAGAGAGAGAGAAAGAGAGAGAGAGAGAAGAGAGAGAAGGCAACAGCUGUGGCUGGAGGGGAAAGUUGGGACAGAGAGAGAGGCCAAAUCAGCUCUCCACCUCAUUCAGCUGGUGGGGCUGAGGGAGGAUUUCAGCAUGGCUGGGAAUGCACUGCAGAAGCGCAUCAUGACUUUGGAAUUCCCAACCAGUCCAUCUGCCCACUGUCCUGAGGGUUGAAUUCACUGAACUCAAUAUUAAGUGCCCCCUGAUUUUGCCAACAGCAAAAGGCAAUUAAAAUCAGGAAGGUUUGCUAUUGGGUUUAAGCUCUUAGUACAGUGCUUUGCACACAGAAAGCGCUCAAUAAAUAUUGAAUGAAAUAUGAUUGAAUGAAAUUUUCAAUCCAAAAUAUGAGCGGAUGCUUGUGCAUAAGAGCUUUUUAUUUCUGGCUUCCAGCAGUAAGGGUGUUUUCAGACCAAUGUUGGAAGAUCAGGACCACAUAGCCAUGAGACUAUUCACACUUGACCAAGUUGAGGUGCUUUCAUGGAGAAUGUCUUCUCUUGUCUUAUCCUGUCAAGUCGUCUCCAACCCAUAGCGACUCCAUGGACACAUCUCUCCCAGAAUGCCCCACUUCCAUCUGUAGUCGUUCUGGUAACGUAUCCAUCAUGGAGAACACCGUCUUAAAAAAAGAAACUUCCUUCACCUUCACUCCUGCGACAGGAUUCCUGAGCCACGGAUCAGAGGUGGGAGAAGCCAGGUAUGACGCAUUUCUUUUGAACAUACCUGGUUGAAAAUGAGAUAGUAAACACCCACCUGGACUGGGUGGGGCUUCUGUGGCACCUUCACUGAGAAACCAUUACCUCGAGGGAUGAUUUGGAAAGAAAACAUCACUGUUUCCCGGAAGGCCUGUGCUGGCUUGUCACGACCAGUUGUGGAUAGUCACUCCCGACAAAAACCCGCCUGUGUUCUAAAGCCUCGGCCUUCCUACAGCAAUAAUGCCAGCGAGCUCAAAGUUUGCCUUGAGAGUAAGAUGUUUAUCAGAUUGUAUAACUGCCUAUGAAUGACCUCACUCAGACCCUCAGGAAUGCCAAUGGCCCUGUUUAUAAUCCAGGUAUGUA